AGCGAACGCUGGCGGCAGGCCUAACACAUGCAAGUCGAACGAACCUUUCGGGGUUAGUGGCGGACGGGUGAGUAACACGUGGGAACGUGCCCUUAGGUUCGGAAUAACUCAGGGAAAGUUGUGCUAAUACCGAAUGUGCUCUUCGGGGGAAAGAUUUGUCGCCUUUAGAUGGGCCCGUGUCUGUUUAGUUAGUUGGGUGUGGUAAUGGCUCACCAAGGCGACGUUCAGGAGCUGGUCUGAGAGGAUGAUCAGCCACAUUGGGACUGAGACACGGCCCAAACUCCUACGGGAGGCAGCAGUGGGGAAUCUUGCGCAAUGGGCGAAAGCCUGACGCAGCCAUGCCGCGUGAAUGAUGAAGGUCUUAGGAUUGUAAAAUUCUUUCACCGGGGACGAUAAUGACGGUACCCGGAGAAGAAGCCCCGGCUAACUUCGUG
rnacentral:rRNA from 1 species